rnacentral:tRNA from 1 species
GCUCCCAUAGUCUAGCCCGGUCAAGGACGUCGGACUCUCAAUCCGGUAACACGGGUUCAAAUCCCGUUGGGAGCA